rnacentral:lncRNA from 10 species
AUCUGAUUCUCUCAGGGGAAGAGCUUUGAUAUUUUUCUGAAGAUAUGUCACCUGUGAAUGAAUACUCAGGACCUUGGGGGUCUCACCUUCACUUUAUUCCCUGGAAUGUUUCCCUGGAAAAUUAACUGUGACUAGCAUACAGGAUUAUAUAAGACCAUGGCAGAGGACACAGCCACUUGGUCAUUACAGCCCACAGAUCCUCUCUCCAUGUCACAUGGCCACUGCCAACAGAUGUCGGAGGAGUAAAAUUGGCAAUUCAAGACAGUCUUUCCUACCCUCUUCAAUGCCUCUUUCAGCAAUAUAAAGCUAAAACCAGAUACUGAAUCAAGUUUGUCCUUGAGUGAGAAUAGAUGAGAGAAAAUGUGGAGCUCCUGACAUAGUAGCAGAGGAAAAAUGAUCACUACCACAGUGUGCUACUCUGAUGCUUCAAAAAGAUCAAGACAUAAUGCUAAAGCCUGAUCAAAAGGCCCCUAUUACUUGCCUGACGCUAUUCUUGGAGCAACAAGUACUUAGUGCCAGGCAUCUUGAAACAUCAGUGUGCAGUUAUCUAAUCAUAUUGAUAUUCUGAUGGUGAGUAACAUGUUAUAUAAUCUUUCUGUGCCUUUCUUGAUGGGGUCAGAUUCUAUACCACACAAGUCACAGAAUUCCAAAAAGCUAUUGUGAGAAUAAAGCUAAAGGCAACAAAAGGAUGAAUCACUA